UCCUGGGCAGCACCAAGAGGACCUGCCUUGGAGCCAGGAGAUCCUACUGCGAGGCCCAUUUUUGUCCCUCACUAAGCAGUAGUACAGACCUGGCUACCCUCCUGAACCUUCCAUGCAUUGACGCACAGUGCCCUGGGCCACGCUGCGCCCAGUUUACAGGUGAGAACCAUGAACCAGAGAGCUGCAAUUUGCCCAACACAGAUGAAGCAGUUAAAAGCAGACUUUCCUGCUUGGCGGUGGGGAAAGGAAGGAAAUCGAGUUGCUCCGCUUCACCUUCUCCUGCUUCCUUGGUGUCUCUGGAAGGACCUCUGCAGAGUCCAAGGGUCUCCGAGACCAAGUUCAAGUCCACUGGAUGAAUGACCUCAAAGGGAGCUGGAACUGUGAUUUUCCAAGCCACUUUGCUCCUUCUGAUGGCUUGUCCAGGUGCCCAGCUCACGCCCCAAGCCUCCUGCUUCUUCCACACCUCACGGGCUCACCAUUAGGUACACGCAUUCACACAUGAAGGCUUGAGCCUCGUGCAUGUCCUCGCGCACGCGCGCGCGCGCACACACACGCAUCUUCCUGUAUUAAACACAAAGGUUUUCAUCACCACCGUAAACUUCAAAGGCUUGGAACUUGGAACCAACACCUUUCCAGCCUCUUAGUCCCAGACCCUUCGGGGGAGAGCAGCUUGUUCUCCUCAAUGUAAUUAGCACCACCACCACCCAGCCCCCCACCCCCUGGCGAUGGGGACUUAGAGGAACUGACGGGCCUCCUUAACCACUUACCAAGUGCAUCUUGAUAUCAAAAGAUUUGUAGCACGGAGUUCUAGCGCCUCCGCAAUAUCAGUCCCUGUAAUCGUUUCGGUUUGUCAAUUUUUUUCAAAACAUCAGAUACAAGUUUGAAAGGCGGGUGGGUCAUACACGUGAGCCCUGGCCCCUCCAGCCUGCUCUCCUCUGGCCUCUGCCCCAAGGCCAGCCCGGAACCCCUUCCCCUGCCCACGGACAGGGCAGGCAGUGAGUGACUGCAGGACGAGCUACUUGGGAAAGAUUACUGAGCCCUCAGGAAUCACAAAACAUCGUCCUUUUCCCAGGAAAGCAGACUUUGACUUGUUCGGCUACUUUUAUUGUGAGAUUUAGCACCGAUGUGCUUUGGUUUUGGGUGAUGGUUUAAUGCUGAAUUAAAGUGGCUCUCAGUUAAACACAGGCCACUUUAUGUCCCUGUGUCGCCUUGGGCAUGAAAGCACGAUGAGGCCCCCAGAGACUGAGGGUGCAGGUGGAAGGAUUAAAGGCAGGUGGGGCCCUGGGGUGUACCCUGGAGGCUGACUUGAAGACCAGACGCCUGGAGAAAACAGCGGGACCUGCCAGGAGGACCCGCCAACCCAGGAAGACCCAGGAAACGCUCAGAACAAUCCAGGCCUUUGGCUGCCUCCGCACUCGGUGGACUUCAUUCCGCAGGCGAGGCCUCGAAUCAUAAACGCGAACCACCCGGCAGCGUGUGAUCCCUGAGUAGGAGGCACAAGGCAGUGCCUGUGUCCUGGAAGAUGACGUACCUGGUUAUUUGUCAGACUUCAGUUCAACGAUGCACAGCUCCGAUCCCAGAUCAACGGUCUCCUCCCUGAACUGAAACUGCGGCCCAGCCCAGGACAGGCCUGGAGGAAUCUUGAUGAUUCACACAAGACCAAGACUGAGCAAACGUCAUUCUCAGAGCUGGCUCAGGCUCUGAGGCUGGAACGGCCUUCGGUGGGAGGUGAGAACGGGCCAGGACCCCUGGUUCCCACACAAGGAGCCCCCCCAUCCCCCCAGCUGAGAAGACCCUCUCCUGGCAACGAGUGUGACUAAGAAAGUAUUGCUUUUCCCGUGGUCAGUGGAAGUCGGAAAGUAGAGCAAAGCGUCGCCAUCCCCUCCCGGCCUUGAAAAGUAAGAAGCAGUAGAGGAGCUGGUCAAGGAUACGUGCGCGGUACAGACGCCACCGCUGUCCCCAGAUUCACGCCAGUCGGACAUUCGGCUUUGAGGGGAGAAGUCCGCUCUCCGCUGGAUCUGCCAGGCCUCAUCACCCUGACUGUGCUCGGGCCUCUCUAAGGAGCUGGGCCAGCAUCCCAUAAUAAAGAGCAAGUCGGACAAAAGUGCCAGGUAGCAGACGGCUUGCAGGGAGUUGGGAGGUAAGUCCAUCCUCCUGAGGCCCAGACAGCACGACUGUGUGCAUGGGGGCGGGGUGCACCUUUCUAGCAUCGCUGCAGGGCUGUGAAACUGGGGAGAAGCCACAGGUGGAGGUACAGAGGGUAAAGCAUCAGCAGCUGCUCCCAGGGGUCAACAAAGAGGUCACCCAUCCCCACAGAGCCACUCGGCAAACCUGCGAACAGUAAGGGGAGAUGACCACACAGUGGAUAAAGUGGGCACCUGGGCAAGAGCAUCUGAGGCACCCAUGGGGUUUGAACCACAGGGAAGGGCUUGAAGAGAGACACGGGUCCAAUCCUCCUGCAGGUGGAGGCAAGGCGGACCCUCCUGUACUCUGUUCAUUCAGCAAAUAUCUCCUGGGCGCGGGGGCCAUCCUACCGCAGAGGGCUUGGCAGGGGAAGAAAUCAGAAGCAGCCUUGCCUCUUGUGAAAAUUACAUGGGAAGAAACAGAAAGGAAGCAGGUCCACAGGCAAGAUCAAUGUAGAAGUAAAAGUUAUGAAGAAAAUAAAGGAGAAGAAUAAGACAGGAGAGGGAUGAGGUGGAGGAGGGUGGUUAAUUAGAAGUGGGCGGUUGGGGAAGGCUUGGCAAUGAAGCGAUAUUUGACUUUUGACUAAAGUGACAAGAGGGAGCGGCCGCUUGAAGGUCGGGGACAGAGUGUCCAGGCAGAUGGAGCAGCUCGUGCAAAGAUACCAAGGUGGAAAUCAGGAUGGGAGCGUUCAAGGAGCAGAAAGUAGGCCAGUGUGCUUGGAGCAGAGUGUUGUGGUGAUGUGGCCAAGAGGGCCACUGUAGGGAGUUUGGAUUCUACUGAAACCCAAAGAAAGCCCAUUAUAGCGUUUCAGCAGAAAAUGACAUCACUGAAGAAUACCACAAAAGGGGAGACCCAUUACGAGGCUGGGGCCGUGGUCUUGCCUGGAGAUGACGCGGCCUGGUGCAGAGGAUGUGUCGAGGUGAAGCUGAAAGAUGGGGUAUGAGGUGUGAGAGAAAGGGAGGAAUUAGAUGUGGCUCUGGGUUUGGUUCUGAACAACCGGACGGGUUUUUUUUAAGAGAUGGGGAGAUUGAGGGGAAGCAGGUUCAGAUGAGGACCAACGGCUCCACUUCGUCAUGUUAACUUUGAGGGUCUUUCCAAACAUCAAAUGCAGGGGCUCAGUUGGCAGGUGGAUCCCCAAGGAGCUUGGCAGGAGGGCUCUGCACCAGCAGGUGUGUCCCAACAUUUCCCGCAAUGGAGGAUACCUACUGCGUGUGAGUCCCCCGCCUCCCGAGUGGGUUUUCCAGGUGCCGAGUAAGAAGGUCUAAGACUGAGUUGGGGAGAACCGCGAAGAAAACAGCCACAGGCAGGGAGCUGUAGGAAUUGGAAGGUCUAGGUCCUGAGUUUUCAGCCUGCUGGUCAUCUGACCUUCAUGCAUUUGCUAGUUCUCACAUCCUUCAUCUGUAACGUGGAGACACGAGACAAUAGGAAUGAAAGUGCCUGAUACACGCUUGCCACAGAGUAACUGCUCAAUGAACAGGCAGUUGACCCAUAAAUAUUCCACUGGGAAGGUGUACUAUGCUCUGAGUGUUUGUGCCCCCGCCAAAUUCAUAUGUGGAAAUCCUAACCCCCAGGUGAUGGUAUUAGUCGGCAGGGCUUUUGGGAGGUGAUGAGUUCCGGAGGGAGGAUCCUCCAUCAGUGGGAUUAGCGACCUUGAAGAGAGUCCAGAGAGAGCCCAGGUCCUUUCCAUCCAGUGAUGGAGGACACAAGAAGUCUGCAACCUGGAAGAGGGCCCUCCCCCCGCCAGGACUCCCCGGGCCUCAGACUUCCUGACUCCAGGACUGUGAGCAAUAAGUUUCUGCUGUUAACAAGCCCCCCAGGGGGUGGCAUGUUGUUAUAGCAACAUGAUAACACUAAGACAAGGUGUUUGCAUUUUGCUGGGGGGAAAGGAAGUAGAUAAGUAAGUGUUAGGGCUGGUGAGUGGCUGUAUGGAAAUGGGGGGGUGGGAGAAAAAGAGGGAGAGAGAGAAGGAGAGAGAGAGGCCCGUGGCCACACCCAUUCUAGGAGGGCACAGGAAUGGAGCUGGUUGAAAAGACUAAGCAUCCCAAUCUAUAUCUUUCUCUAUAGCGCCCAGCAGGAGAGGCACAAAUUCUGUUUAACAGAAGCUGUAGUAGCACCCUUUCAGGGGGGAAGGCAACACCUUGGGUCAUCUGCUCUUCUAAGGAAGUAGCUGCAGCAGGCCCUCCCCUGCUGUGGGUCUGUUGAGGUCCUUAUUAACACUAUACUCUGUGAGGCCAACCCCGCUGUUCCCACCAGGAUCCCAGCAUCCUCCGUGCCUCUCACCUCCAGCCCAGGCAAUUCUACACCGGGUUCACUCCUGAUUCUCAACUCUACCACUGUGGUCCUCCAAGUGUGUUCCAUGGAUCCAUUUGAGGGGAGGGCGUCCCCAAUACCCUUUCAGGAAGCCUGGGUGGUCACAACUAUUCUCGUAGCGCCAGACACGGUUUGCCACUUUCACCGUGUCAGCUAUUUGCACUGAGCUCAGAGCACUGGUGGCUGACAUCACCAGCCCCUUAGCAAGAAUCAAGGCUCCUGUACCAGCAGCCAUUAUAGCCUGCACCACCACAUGGUCUCAAGUUUUUAAAAAGCCAGCUUCAUUUAAGAACGUUCUUGCAGAAGUAGUAAAAUUAUUAUUUCAACCCUUGCGUGCACAUCCUUAAUACUCUGCUGCGUAGUCUAGUAUGAUUUGUUGUAAGAAAAGCACUUGUGUGCAUACGUAAGUCACAAGGUAAGCUUUUUUCAUGGAACACCAGUUUUUGGGGAAAAAACAGCUGAUAGACAAACUGCGGUUACUCAGACUUGGUAUUUGGCAUUUUCUCAAAAAGCGAUGAAGUGAGCCUAGCACUUCAAGGAAAAUAACUGACAGUAUUUGUUGCAAUAAUAAAAUUUCAGCAUCCAAAUGAAAAUUAGAACUUUCUAGAUUUUGUAUUUGCCACUGUGAGCUUGAGACUUCCCAAUACUUAAAGACUUUUCUAAUGGGAUUGGUGGUAAUAUUAAUGAAUGUGAUUUUUUAAAAUUAUACAUACGAUGAUUCAACAUGCAGAAGAUCUGCAGAACUCAGUGUUUUCCAAAUGACCAAUGCAUAGCAUCACAGAAUCAUGCGUGAGUAAAAGAUCCAUUCAAAGCACAGGAGUGAGCAAUGGAUUUUAAUGGAACAGGAUGAAAAGUUCGUUGGCAUGGUUUCAGAGUUCACACUACAACCAACCUUUAAGAAGCUACCGCCUGUCAAAUUUUGAUAUGGUACCAAAGAAGAAUAACCACAGUUACCUGAAAGGGUCAUUAAAUGCUCUCUCCUUUGCCAGCUGUGCAUAGCUGUGUGAAGCCGGAUUAUCAUGCACUUCACAUCAAAACAUCUUCCCACAGAUCAAGUGCAGAAGCAGACAUGCUUUCAUAAAUCCAGGUAUUAAAGAGAUUUGCAAAAUUAUGUUUUUAGGUACCACUCUUAUUUUUUAUACAGUGUUAUUAAUUUUUUUAUAAAACUACGUUAUUUGUGUUGACAUGUAAUGGGUUUUUUAUUUGUUUUUUAAAAGUUAUAAAUACAUAAAAAUAUAUUUAAAUAUUUUAAAAUUUUAUUCGUUUUAAUUUCAAACCCAGUAAAUAUUGACAUUUUAAAAAGCUAUUUAGAGUCCCCAGUAAUUUUGAAAUGUUUAAAUGGGUCCUAAGACCACAAGUAUAUGCUGGAGGGAAAGGAGUCAGUGCACUGAGAGGCCGCAGGGGGAGAAUACAGAAGCCUAGCAAAUUAAAAACAUUCCCUCUGUCAUAGUUUCCUAACCAGCGAGUUGCAACAAUUUAGUUGUCACAGCCCUGUGCCUUGUGAGUCAUGAGCAGCUCUGUUUAAAACCCUUACUGAGC